rnacentral:rRNA from 1 species
GACGAACGCUGGCGGCGUGCUUAACACAUGCAAGUCGAACGGAAAGGCCCUGCUUUUGUGGGGUGCUCGAGUGGCGAACGGGUGAGUAACACGUGAGUAACCUGCCCUUGACUUUGGGAUAACUUCAGGAAACUGGGGCUAAUACCGGAUAGGAGCUCCUGCUGCAUGGUGGGGGUUGGAAAGUUUCGGCGGUUGGGGAUGGACUCGCGGCUUAUCAGCUUGUUGGUGGGGUAGUGGCUUACCAAGACUUUGACGGGUAGCCGGCCUGAGAGGGUGACCGGCCACAUUGGGACUGAGAUACGGCCCAGACUCCUACGGGAGGCAGCAGUGGGGAAUAUUGCACAAUGGGCGGAAGCCUGAUGCAGCAACGCCGCGUGCGGGAUGACGGCCUUCGGGUUGUAAACCGCUUUCGCCUGUGACGAAGCGUGAGUGACGGUAAUGGGUAAAGAAGCACCGGCUAACUACGUG